rnacentral:rRNA from 1 species
AACGUAGGUGGCGAGCGUUAUCCGGAUUUACUGGGCGUAAAGGGUGUGCAGGCGGGCGGUCAAGUGGUGUAUGAAAGCACUGCGCUCAACGCAGUGCGGUUAGGCCAGACUGACCGUCUUGAGUGCGAGAUAGGGGCGUGGAAUUCCGGGUGUAGUGGUGAAAUGCGUAGAGAUCCGGAGGAACCCCAGAGGCGAAGGCGGCGCCCUGGCUCGCAACUGACGCUCAGACACGACAGCAUGGGGAGCGAACGGG